GAUGAACGCUGGCGGCGUGCCUAAUACAUGCAAGUCGAGCGAACGGACGAGAAGCUUGCUUCUCUGAUGUUAGCGGCGGACGGGUGAGUAACACGUGGAUAACCUACCUAUAAGACUGGGAUAACUUCGGGAAACCGGAGCUAAUACCGGAUAAUAUUUUGAACCGCAUGGUUCAAAAGUGAAAGACGGUCUGGCCGUCACUUAUAGAUGGAUCCGCGCUGCAUUAGCUAGUUGGUAAGGUAACGGCUUACCAAGGCAACGAUGCAUAGCCGACCUGAGAGGGUGAUCGGCCACACUGGAACUGAGACACGGUCCAGACUCCUACGGGAGGCAGCAGUAGGGAAUCUUCCGCAAUGGGCGAAAGCCUGACGGAGCAACGCCGCGUGAGUGAUGAAGGUCUUCGGAUCGUAAAACUCUGUUAUUAGGGAAGAACAUAUGUGUAAGUAACUGUGCACAUCUUGACGGUACCUAAUCAGAAAGCCACGGCUAACUACGUG
rnacentral:rRNA from 1 species